rnacentral:lncRNA from 1 species
GGAGCGGCCGAGAGCGGGAGCCGGGCGUGCGCGCGCGGCUGGAGUCUCUCUGGGGCUCGGCUCCCUGCGGGAGCUAUUGUUGGUCUCGCUGGAGCUGAGCGCGGAGCCGGGACCUGCUCCUUCCCGGGCACCCUGCUUGGGCUCGCGGAGCCGAGGAGCCGCGCCGCCGAGAGCGAGAGGAGCCACCGGCGGGGCGCCUUUCCUCCCUGCCGCCGUCCUCCCUGCUUCCCUGGCGGUGGCAGCCUGCAGCCACGGUGCCGACCACUCAGGCCUAGAGUCCAUCUGGAUACAGUGGGAAACCCAGUGGAACCGCAGCCCUCCUAAUAGAUGGAAAAACUGAGAAUCAGAGAGGGCUAGUGAUCUCUCGGACACUUGGUCAGUAGCAUUGAAAACUCGCGGCUGCCGGUGUUAUAACUCACGCCUGAACGAAGCUUAUCUGAGACAUAUUUUCUCGUAAGGCGCGUCAUGGCCUUCUGAAUGCUUAGGAACACUAGAUAGCACUUCAGCACUGUGCCAUCUAAACAGCAAAAUCACCAACAAAAAUGUGAAAAAUGUGGCACUAAAUAGACCGCAAAGAAGAUCGUUGUUUACAGUCAUGAGAGCUGAAACGGGAACAGAGUGUCGCCUUGUUCAACCUCAGCUAGGAACAUCCGCAUCGGGAAACUCAGAUUUCUCCCUUCUUUGCACACCCGCGAAUGACCACAGGAGCGCAACGAGCAUUGAUUUGGGGUUACAUAGAAGUUUUAGGCAAAUUCGCAAAUACAUAUUCCGCAAAUGAGGAUUGACUGUAUUUUAUUUCACUUAGUUCUCACUCAAGCCAGUUA